GAUGAACGCUAGCGGCAGGCCUAAUACAUGCAAGUCAAGGGGAUAGCAAUAUCACCGGCGGACGGGUGCGUAACGCGUACACAGCGUGCCCAAGGGCGGAGGAAAGCGGCGGGAAACUGCCGGUAAUACUCCAUGGUGUUGUUGAGUGGCAUCACUUAACAACUAAAGUACAAGCGCCCUUGGAUCGGUGUGCGUUCGAUUAGCUAGUUGGCGGGGUAACGGCCCACCAAGGCUACGAUCGAUAGGGGGUGUGAGAGCAUGACCCCCCACACGGGUACUGAGACACGGACCCGACUCCUACGGGAGGCAGCAGUAAGGAAUAUUGGACAAUGGGCGAAAGCCUGAUCCAGCCAUGCCGCGUGAAGGACGAAGGCGCUCAGCGUUGUAAACUUCUUUUGGAUGGGAACAAUAACUCCGACUUGUCGGAACUUGAGGGUACCAUCAGAAUAAGCACCGGCUAACUCCGUG
rnacentral:rRNA from 1 species